UAGGGAAUCUUCCCCAAUGGGCGGCAAGCCUGAUGGAGCAACACCGCGUGAGUGGAGAAGGGUUUCGGCUCGUAAAGCUCUGUUGUUAAAGAAGAACACGUAUGAGAGUAACUGUUCAUACGUUGACGGUAUUUAACCAGAAAGUCACGGCUAACUACGUGCCGG
rnacentral:rRNA from 1 species